rnacentral:rRNA from 1 species
GACGAGGGAUCCUAGCGUUGUUCGGAAUUAUUGGGCGUAAAGCGGGUGUAGGUGGCUUGGUAAGUCAGGUGUGAAAGCCCAGGGCUUAACCCUGGAAGUGCAUUUGAAACUGCCGAGCUUGAGUGUGGGAGAGGAUAGUGGAAUUCCUGGUGUAGUGGUGAAAUACGUAGAUAUCAGGAGGAACAUCGGUGGCGAAGGCGGCUAUCUGGCCCAACACUGACACUCAGACCCGAAAGCGUGGGGAGCGAACAGG